ACACACACUGACACCCACUGUCCUUGAACCAAUAGAAAGCUGGUGCUCAGAGGAAGAGGGCGGGCUUUACUUGGUGUCAGUGAGAGAAAUGAAAAAAAGCUCAAAUGAGUGAGAAGGACGAUGAAGGAAACAUCUGUGCUGUGUCUGCUCUGUAAGUAGAAUCUCUGUGUUUGUUUGAAUUCUUGUACUUUGACUGUCUGCUCUCCUGAUAACUGAUGAUGGAGGAGAAGACAUGAAAAACAAAUCAGGCUGAAUUCAAGUUCAAACACCACGAGGACCAACUGCAGGUCUGAAGUUUCACAGAGUUACUGAUGAAUUUAUGAGUGAAAAGCUGAAAUAAAAUGUUGGUGUUUGUGUGAACAGAGCAGAGGACAGACCUUAGUUCAGUACUAGUUGUUUGUCUGUAUUCAGUGUAACUAUAAUGUAACUUGAAGGACUUCCUUGUUCUACAGUAACUACAGAAGCAGCUCAUGAAGCAUGAAAUGAUGUGAUCAGUUUUAUUUAAUAAUUCUGAUCAUCGAGAAGUUGAAAAGUGAAAUCCUGGAGUCUCUGGUUUAGUACGAGCAGCUUUUUGCUGACCUGGUUUAGAUCCACGUUUCCUCUGACAGGAAGAUCAAACUGGGCUGUAGGCGACACAACAUGAAGAGUUUGAUGUUUCUGUCUUAGAGGGAAACAUCAAAUAAUACAAAGUUGUUCUGAGUGAUCAUCUUUGUGUGUUUAUGUCAAAUCAACCUGAGUGUCAUUUCUCUUUAGUUCUGAUCUCACUGCUGAGCUGCACAACAAACCAAGCUCGUCUGACUGUGAGUCCCAGCAGCUCUCAGUUCUUUCAAGGAGACUUUGUGUCUCUGAGCUGUGAGGAGGACGACAGCUCUGCUGGAUGGACUCUGAGGAGAAACACAAGCAGACGACAGAGGAGUCAGUGUGGAGAUGGGUGGGGAGAAGGUGCUGGUUCUUCCUGUGACAUCACUUUGAUGGCACCUCAUGACUGUGGAGUUUACUGGUGUGAGUCCAGAGAGGGUCCCAUCAGUAACAUGGUUAACCUGACAGUCACUGGUGGAUCAGUGAUCCUG